ACAGGUGACGCCGUGCCGCCCCGCCCCCCGGGCCUUUGCCGUGCCGGGGGUGCCGCUCCGCUUGGCUAAUGUCACCCGUUCGGCUGCCGGGGACGCCCUGAGAGGCGAGCGGCAGCCGGGAUUCCGGUCGUGGUCCAGGGAUGGGUUUUGCUCAGCGCGGCAUGUGGCUCUGAGUGGUUAGUAGCCGUUUCCUCCCCAGGCGGGCUUCGCACCUGUCCUCAUCUCCCGGGCACGGGAGGGUGCAGCCAGUGUUUACUACAAUUCUGUGAGAUGCAAAAGAUUCCGCGGGCGUCCGAACCCCUCCACUGAAUUUCUGCGACUCACACAGCGUCAAAUUGGCAGGAAGGCGCGCCCAUUCCGUUGUCUUCAAAAUCAGCGCAAAUUGACUGGCAUAGACAUUCGUUGAGAAAACGCUUCCUUUCUGAGGAGGCAACCUAGGUGUGACCUCAAGGGGAUCGUGACUGCUUUGAAUUCAGCUUCCUCAGACAGCAGUCGGGCAAGAAAGGUUCCAGAACGGGACACUUACUGAGACAUAAAUUUGAGGGACACGAAGAGACUCCUGUGUCCAAAAUUAACCUGAAGCUGUCGAUUUACCUGAAAUUGCCAAUUUAAGGUAAUGAAAUAGAUACCGAAAAGAAGAGCUGAGAGAGAAAGAUCUAGAGAAGAGAAGGUCAAACCCACAGGCUCACCUGCCCACACUUCAGAACUUUCUGAAUUCUCAGACUUUAUACCGAUGGCAGACCCCAGCUCCACUCAUCCAAAGCUUUCCAUUUUGGUCAGUUUGAAUCCCUAUGAGGCAACUGCUUUCAGAAGGCACUUUCAGCCUCCUGUGUUUGAAAUUCUGGGAGCACUCUGCACUGUGGCAUGAAAAGACAUGGUAAUUCCCAAGUUGUUUUCAUAUUUUCUUAGAACUUUAACAUCAACACUUUAUUUCAUAACCAUUUUGGGGGAAAUGAAACUGAAAUUCCCUAUCCAUUGCAUGUGGCAGUAAAGUGACCUCUAGUGGACUUUUCUGGUAGUUUCCAAGAAAUUCUGGAACAAGGAGCUGGAGGGGCAGUCCACCGAAGUUAGAUUAGCUAUUCAGCUACCUAGUGCCCUGAAGUUCAGUUGGAUGCAUGGUAAGCUUCAAUGCCAAGGCUGAGGCAGGUGAGGGAGGUACUUUUGGAUGAAGCAAGGUUCAUCACUGGUAAAAGUGGCUGCAAGAGACCUUGAGUUCUUCGGAACUAACAUUUCUCUAGAAAAGGAAGGACUGAGGAUCAGAUUAUGAACGAUGAGUCAGGACGAACCCAUUGGAUUGAUUUUAGAAAAAAAAAGUUGUCUCUUUGAAAUAAUGAAUAGUAAGAAUGAUAUGAAGUCAUGAUAGACCUUUAGGCAAAGUGAGGGAGGAAGUGUUCCACAUUUUAUGUUUUGUGUGUUUUUUAAAGACACAUGAUGAGGCAAUUUAACAAUCAACAGCAUGGGUGCAAAAAAAAAAAAUCUACAUUAAAACCCUUUGUUGGAAUACUUUACAUUUUCUACAGAAGAGAAACUAAAAUAAUCUGUUUACACUUAGUCACAAAUACAGUCCUCGAGUUUUUUGCCCAUGUGUAUUGACGCAUGAGUAUUGUCUAAAACAUGUCUUCUUUGUAUACAGCAGCUAGGCCCUGCCACCACUGUUCUUGGCUGAGUUCACAAAUCUGUGGUAACCUGUAGCUUCCCUGUCACUUCUCUGGCUUCCCUCUCCUGCUAAGCUUUGUUUCUUGGCAGUAAUUAAAACCUUCUGCCACUGCCAUAGCUACUGCUGCUGCUGGAACCACCAUAGCCACCUUGGUUUCAUUGUUUGGCAAAAUAUUGGCCUUCACCGCCAUAGUGGCCAGAGCUUCUGCAUCCAAAAUUUCUUCCUUUCAAGGGUCCAGAGUUUGAAGACUGAUUGUUAUAAUUGCCCAAAUCAUUAUAGUUCCCAUUGCUUCCAUCAUUACCAAAUCCAUUAUAGCUGUCUCCACUGCCACCAUAUCCACCACCACCUGGACUUCCACUAAAGCCACCAGCUCACUGAAGUUUCCUCCAUAACCGAAGUUGUCAUUCCCACCAAAACUACCUCCACAACCACCACCAAAGUUUCCAGAACCACUUCAACCUCUUUGUCUGGAUGAAGCACUAGCCACCUCUUGCUUAGAUAGGGCUUUUCUUACUUUGCAGUUGUGGCCAUUCACAGUAUGGUAUAUAUAUUUUGAGAGAGAGAGCACACAUGAGUGGGAGAGGAGAGAGAGAGAGAGAGGGCAUGUGCGAGCGUCGGGGAGGGGCAGAUAUAGAGGGAAAAAGAAAGAAUCCAAGAAGGCUCCACACUGUCAGUGCAGAGCCUAACACAGGGCUCCAACUCACAAACCAUGAGAUCAUGACCUGAGCUGAAAUCAAGAGUUGGAUGCUUAACCCACUGAGCCACCCAGGCUCCCCAAAGUGUGUUACUUUUGAAAGACAAUCUUGUCUACGGAGUUAUAGUCAUCAAAUGUUACAAAAGCAAAACUGUUCUUGGCACUGCCUUGGUCAGUCAUGAUGUCAGUCACUUCAGUUUUCACAUACUAUUCAAAAUAAUCUCUUAGAUGGUGUUCUUCAUCACCAUCUAAGAAGAUGGUGUCUUCUCUAUUACCACCAACAAAAAUCUUUUUCACAAUUAAGUGGGCACCAGGUCUUUGAGAAUCUUCUCUUGAGGCAGCCCUCUUUGGUUCCACAACUCUUCCAUCCACUUUGUGUGGCCUUGCAUUUGUGGCUGCAUCCACCACAG